rnacentral:rRNA from 1 species
CGCUGGCGGCGUGCUUAACACAUGCAAGUCGAACGAGAAUCUGCGGAAAGAGGAUUCGUCCAAUUGAAGCAGAGGACAGUGGCGGACGGGUGAGUAACGCGUGAGGAACCUGCCUUUCAGAGGGGGACAACAGUUGGAAACGACUGCUAAUACCGCAUGACACAUCGGAGUCGCAUGGCUCUGAUGUCAAAGAUUUAUCGCUGAAAGAUGGCCUCGCGUCUGAUUAGCUAGUUGGUGAGGUAACGGCCCACCAGGGCGACGAUCAGUAGCCGGACUGAGAGGUUGACCGGCCACAUUGGGACUGAGAUACGGCCCAGACUCCUACGGGAGGCAGCAGUGGGGAAUAUUGGGCAAUGGGCGCAAGCCUGACCCAGCAACGCCGCGUGAAGGAAGAAGGCUUUCGGGUUGUAAACUUCUUUUAAGUGGGAAGAGUAGAAGACGGUACCACUUGAAUAAGCCACGGCUAACUACGUG